CAAUAGCGUAUAUUUAAGUUGCUGCAGUUAAAAAGCUCGUAGUUGGAUUUCGGGUGGGAAUGGCCGGUCCGCCGUUUCGGUGUGCACUUGCUACGCCCACCUUGCUGCCGGGGACGUGCUCUUGAGUUCACGCUCGGGACACGGAGUCGGCGAGGUUACUUUGAGUAAAUUAGAGUGUUCAAAGCAGGCCUACGCUCUGAAUACAUUAGCAUGGAAUAACACGAUAGGACUCUGGCCUAUCUUGUUGGUCUGUAGGACCGGAGUAAUGAUUAAGAGGGACAGUCGGGGGCAUUCGUAUUUCAUUGUCAGAGGUGAAAUUCUUGGAUUUAUGAAAGACGAACUACUGCGAAAGCAUUUGCCAAGGAUGUGUUCAUUAA
rnacentral:rRNA from 1 species